UACAGAGGUCUCAAGCGUUUGUUCGGAUUCAUUGGGCGUAAAGGGUGUGUAGGUGGCGCGCUAAGUCGGGUGUGAAAUUUCGGAGCUUAACUCCGAAACUGCAUUCGAUACUGGCGUGCUUGAGGACUGGAGAGGAGACUGGAAUUCAUGGUGUAGCAGUGAAAUGCGUAGAGAUCAUGAGGAAGACCAGUGGCGAAGGCGGGUCUCUGGACAGUUCCUGACACUGGAGACACGGAAGGCCAGGGGAGCAAACGGG
rnacentral:rRNA from 1 species